GACUUCUGGUUUACCAUCCUUCCAGCAACGGCUACCCUUAACUGGGCGGCUGGAACUGGAUCUUUUACUUUGAAAAAUUAGAGUGUUUAAAGCAGGCGUUUGCUCUGAAUACAUUAGCAUGGAAUAAUAAUCUAGGACUUCGGUUCUAUUUUGUUGGUUUCGAGAACUGAAGUAAUGAUUGAUAGGGAUAGUUGGGGGUGCUAGUAUUGGCCGGUCAGAGGUGAAAUUCUUGGAUUCGGUCAAGACUAACUUAUGCGAAAGCAUU
rnacentral:rRNA from 1 species